rnacentral:rRNA from 1 species
ACAUAUCAAUAAGCGGAGGAAAAGAAACCAACAGGGAUUGCCCCAGUAACGGCGAGUGAAGCGGCAACAGCUCAAAUUUGAAAUCUGGCCCCCGGGUCCGAGUUGUAAUUUGCAGAGGAUGCUUUGGGCGAGGUUCCUUCCGAGUUCCCUGGAACGGGACGCCACAGAGGGUGAGAGCCCCGUCUGGUCGGACACCGAGCCCGUGUAAAGCUCCUUCGACGAGUCGAGUAGUUUGGGAAUGCUGCUCAAAAUGGGAGGUAUAUGUCUUCUAAAGCUAAAUAUUGGCCAGAGACCGAUAGCGCACAAGUAGAGUGAUCGAAAGAUGAAAAGCACUUUGAAAAGAGGGUUAAAAAGUACGUGAAAUUGUUGAAAGGGAAGCGCCUAUGACCAGACUUGCGCCCGGUGAAUCAUCCAGCGUUCUCGCUGGUGCACUUCGCCGGGCACAGGCCAGCAUCAGUUUGGCGCGGGGGACAAAGGCUUCGGGAACGUGGCUCCCUCGGGAGUGUUAUAGCCCGCUGCGUAAUACCCUGCGCCGGACUGAGGUACGCGCAUCGCAAGGAUGCUGGCGUAAUGGUCAUCAGCGACCCGUCUUGAAACACGGACCAAGGAGUCGUCUUCGUAUGCGAGUGUUCGGGUGUUAAACCCCUACGCGGAAUGAAAGUGAACGUAGGUGAGAGCUUCGGCGCAUCAUCGACCGAUCCUGAUGUUCUCGGAUGGAUUUGAGUAAGAGCAUACGGGGCCGGACCCGAAAGAAGGUGAACUAUGCCUGUAUAGGGUGAAGCCAGAGGAAACUCUGGUGGAGGCUCGCAGCGGUUCUGACGUGCGAAUCGAUCGUCAAAUAUGGGCAUGGGGGCGAAAGACUAAUCGAACCUUCUAGUAGCUGGUUUCCGCGAU